rnacentral:rRNA from 1 species
AGAGUUUGAUCCUGGCUCAGAUUGAACGCUGGCGGCAUGCCUUACACAUGCAAGUCGAACGGUAACGCGGGGCAACCUGGCGACGAGUGGCGAACGGGUGAGUAAUGCAUCGGAACGUGCCCAGUAGUGGGGGAUAGCUCGGCGAAAGCCGGAUUAAUACCGCAUACGACCUACGGGUGAAAGCGGGGGACCGCAAGGCCUCGCGCUCUUGGAGCGGCCGAUGUCAGAUUAGGUUGUUGGUGGGGUAAAGGCCUACCAAGCCGACGAUCUGUAGCUGGUCUGAGAGGACGACCAGCCACACUGGGACUGAGACACGGCCCAGACUCCUACGGGAGGCAGCAGUGGGGAAUUUUGGACAAUGGGGGCAACCCUGAUCCAGCCAUGCCGCGUGCGGGAAGAAGGCCUUCGGGUUGUAAACCGCUUUUGUCAGGGAAGAAACGCUCCGGGCUAAUACCUUGGGAUAAUGACGGUACCUGAAGAAUAAGCACCGGCUAACUACGUGCCAGCAGCCGCGGUAAUACGUAGGGUGCAAGCGUUAAUCGGAAUUACUGGGCGUAAAGCGUGCGCAGGCGGUCGUGCAAGACAGAUGUGAAAUCCCCGGGCUCAACCUGGGAACUGCAUUUGUGACUGCACGGCUGGAGUGCGGCAGAGGGGGAUGGAAUUCCGCGUGUAGCAGUGAAAUGCGUAGAUAUGCGGAGGAACACCGAUGGCGAAGGC